rnacentral:misc_RNA from 1 species
UUGCAUGAUGUUCUGCUGCAAAAUGCAUUGCAGUGAUGGGAGAACUGAGGCGGCUGUAAGGCUUGAUGUUGAUGGACUACUUGAACCUCCACAAACGGAAUUGAAAUAACAGUUUGUAGGACCCUUUGGGCUGAGAUCUGCUGAAGUGACCUUGAAGCGUCCUUUACGUUGGACAACUGCUCCUUCUGACAAAUCCUCCGCAGAAGAAAGGUUAUUGGUUUCUCUUCUCUGUCGAUAUAACAAUGGACCACUAUAAUUUCUCUCUGAUUGAUGCUUUGGCUGUACAAAAUCCCUGUUCUCAUCUCCAACAAUCU